rnacentral:lncRNA from 1 species
AGAUACCGGCACCAUGUUCUGGGGCAUGAUCUCAGAGGCCAAGAGGAAUAAAAUAAGUAACCUGGAGUUAGGAGGCCUAUUAGGGGAGACUUUAAAGAACAGUUUGUGGCACUUUCUAGUACAUUCUGCCAUUUUAUUAAGGAGGAAACCUGAAGAAGACCAAAACCUGUGAUUAAAAAAAGAGCUGCGGG